GGCCCUGAUCUGGGCACAUGAGUGCUACUUUGAGCUUUGCAGGACAAGGAAGAGUUCAAGCUUCCUAGUUGCUGAGGCAGAGAGUCUUCCAUAGAACAUAUUGCAAGGCAUAAGCAGGCAGCAGAAGUAGAGGAUCAUAACACAAAUUCUACUAUUUCCUAACAUCUAAGACCUGCAUUUUGCAACUUGAUAGGAUAUUAUUUUAUGUUAGGUGUGAGUUUACACAGUCACUUGUUUUAUUGAAAAACCUUAAUUACGUAAGCAAGAGUUUUCCCACUUAAUGCUAACUUCUGCAUGGGUUAUCUGUGGGAUUGGUACUUUCUGAGAACCAAAUGAUAACUUACAGAAAUCUGAUCUGUAAAAUAGAAUUUUCUUAUGGCUUUUAACAUGUGAGAUUAUGAAGAUGUAUUUGUAUAAUAUAAUUAGAUUUUGUCCUAGUGCAGCAUGUAAUCACUUUUUAAAGGUACAAAACAAAUACUUAGAAAAUAUUGUCUGGAGUCAAUGAAAGAUACACUGCAUUCAUCCUAGUAUAUCUUUACCAAAGACACAAUCUUACCAGAACAGUGUAUCUGAUAUAAACCUUGUCCAGUCUCUCCAAAGACUGAUAAUACUGUUUUGGUAUUGAUAAUGUUGGGGAAGUCAGAUACAAAAUCUCUUGAAAUCCAGAAGAAAACUUUUUCCCCCUUUUGUAUAUAUUACAGCAUUUUUAUUAUUUGUUAUUUUAAAGUGUUUCCUACUUAAAUAAAUGCUGUUGAGAAUGCAGAAAAUGUACAGACACAAAAUCAAUUAUUUUCCAAGCAAUUUUUAAUUAUAUUACUCUUGAAAUGUUAUAUACUUCAAUGCAUUGCUUUUAAUACAAAUCUCUUACUUUAUCCAUAAAAGUCUAAUUUCUGCUUGAUAAACUCUUAAAUUAGUUUCAGAUAAUUGCUUUUUCAACGUCUUCCCACAUACAUCUACUGUCAAAUUUUUACAGCUCACUGAGCCAUUUCAAAUUAUGUCUGCUCUGUCUUGCAAAAUAAAAAUGAGUGAUUAAAGAUG
ensembl:lncRNA